GGUUAGCUUCGUAGGUGACCUGCGGAGGAUCAUUA
rnacentral:rRNA from 1 species